rnacentral:rRNA from 1 species
UACGAAGGGGGCUAGCGUUGCUCGGAAUCACUGGGCGUAAAGCGCACGUAGGCGGCUUUUUAAGUCAGGGGUGAAAUCCUGGAGCUCAACUCCAGAACUGCCUUUGAUACUGAGAAGCUUGAGUCCGGGAGAGGUGAGUGGAACUGCGAGUGUAGAGGUGAAAUUCGUAGAUAUUCGCAAGAACACCAGUGGCGAAGGCGGCUCACUGGCCCGGUACUGACGCUGAGGUGCGAAAGCGUGGGGAGCAAACAAG